rnacentral:rRNA from 1 species
UACGUAGGUGGCAAGCGUUAUCCGGAUUUAUUGGGCGUAAAGGGAACGCAGGCGGUCUUUUAAGUCUGAUGUGAAAGCCUUCGGCUUAACCGGAGUAGUGCAUUGGAAACUGGGAGACUUGAGUGCAGAAGAGGAGAGUGGAACUCCAUGUGUAGCGGUGAAAUGCGUAGAUAUAUGGAAGAACACCAGUGGCGAAAGCGGUUCUCUGGUCUGUAACUGACGCUGAGGUUCGAAAGCGUGGGUAGCAAACAGG